rnacentral:rRNA from 1 species
CGCACCUCGACCGCGACCUACAGGACAGGACGGAGCCCAUGU